CUGCCUUCAACUUAGGAGCAAGAAAAACAACCAUGUGGGGCAACACCCAAGUCCUCACUGCUAAUAGGAGAUGGACUUUUGAGCAGGUAAAGUUGCCCCUAGGUGACCCAGCCCCCUGCAGGAUGCCGGGGUGUCGAGAUCCGCUCCUG
ensembl:snRNA U12 U12 minor spliceosomal RNA